CAUCAAUGAAAUUUGACCAGAGAGCUACUAUUGUCUCCCCAUUUCUCUCUCUCUCUCUCUCUUAAAGAAGUAGGAUUUCUUGCCUGUUUAGGUCUUGUCAGUCCCUACCUGCACAGAGGAGAAAGUUGGUGUUGUGAGGGUUAAUACCUUGCAGAUCCGGCAAUCAUAGGUUUUGUCUGUAUUAAGAGGGGGAUGAAUCCAGAUGGCUGGAUAAUCACAGACCUGCUUGCCGGCUGGUUGUGUUCCAUAGACUCAGACAAAGAUAGUAGGGAAAAAACAGUGUGCCCCCCCCCCACAAGCAAAGAAAGAUGGCAGGAGAAGAGUGACCGCUGCGAAGGAAACGAAAGGAAAGAAGGAAAAGAAGCGCCCGCCCGCAAUCCCGAAAUUUGUUCACCCGGGAGAAGGAAAGAGACCUGCCACGUAACUCCAGCAAACACAUUUUUCCCCCGGCACAGGAGAAGUUCAAGGCCGGGAAGGCAAUCCGGGUUUCUUCCUCCUCCCGGCGGCGAUCGCUCCUCUCCAGGCUCCAAACGGGAUUCCGCGCCAAGCGGACGGAGGCGCCCCGACCGGAGCGCAAGCGGAGGCAAGACCUGCAGGUCCGCGGAGGCGCAACACCCUCCCCUCCGGCCCCGUCUUGCGGAUCCUCCCCGGGGGGGCCCUCCUUCCUUCGCCCACCGGCCCACCCAUCCCCACCGGCGCGCGCUGGGGGGGGCGCGUCUCUCUGCUUCCCCAGGGAGGGUCCAAGGCAGCGUCAUCGGGGCCGCUCCCUCGCAUAAAGCCACCCCGCCGACCGGCCGCCGCGCCCGUCCGUCCCGCUCCAGUCGCCCGAAGGACGGACAGGCAAGCGCCCCGUGGCGCCCCCCUGCGGAAGAUGCUGCUGGGAAGGCGGCGCGUCUUCUCGGUGGAGCCGCUUUGGAACCGAGGGAGUGCCUGGAGACCAGUCAAGGACUGUGUGGUCUUAACCUCGGUCAGCAUGACCCAGCAGUUACAGGCUCCUCAUCUUGAAUUCUCGUUUAGCCCUGAACUGGAGGGGAAGAUGAGCAGUCAAGUGGAGAGAUGGAGUGGGGCCGAGUCCCCGGCAGAAUCUGUCCCCCACAAGGUAGGCUUCUCGCCUAUGAGUGGGAGGCUCCUGAAAUCCGAAUCCGAGGACUCGGGCAUGGAGAUGGCCAGCAAUGAUCACUCUCUGUCUAGCCCAGCGGGGUCUGAGAGAAGCUUCUUUUUGGACUUCGUGGAUGGUUUCCACCCUUCGGUGGAAGACAGUCCUCCUCCACCACCCUAUGAGAGUUGCCCCAAAGGAGAGGGGCAGGAGGUGCUGCCAGGUCCCACCCAAGAUGGCACGCGCUGCCAGAAUCUCUCUGACAGCAAGGAGGCAGCACAGCCGGCCCUGCAGCCCCAGAAGCGCUGUCCUCGGCCACUGAGUCGGAUGCCCUGUGCCCUGAAGAGCUUGGAAGGGCCCCCCGCUAUGCCCCGGCCAACAAGCAUUGAUGACCUGAUGGAGAUGCUUGGUGGAGGAGAUGGUCAGCCGGCCUUUGACUGCAACUACCCAGAAGAGCCCAGCGUGAAAGACAAGGUGAAGAACGAGCCAUUACUUGCUAUGCCCGGAGAGGGCCUGCUGUACCUGGAACACAUCUGUCAGAUGAUGGAGAAGAUUGCCCAGCUUCAACGGACCAACUUGCAGCUCCAGCAUCGACAAAGAAACAUGGAGCGCUGGGCCCGGGUUCAGGAAUUUGAGAAAAAAGGCUUUUUUGAAGAAACUCCAGAAAGCCCCGGAUUGGCAAGAGUGGAAUCCCAAUGGGAGAAUUCAGCUGCUCCAGAAAUGGAAGAGGCAGUGACGGCAGAGGAGGGACCCAAUUCAUUCAAACCCUGGCACCUCCAUCACUUCCGGGCACGCUCUGCCUCCGAUACCCAUGUGCUACGGAGACCAGCCCAUGCCUCAAGGAGCAAGGCCAGUUGUUCUAGGAAAGCAGCCCUGAAUGCGGUCAGCUCACCCAGCGCCUUAGAUCAACUGGAUGGGGGUUCUCGUACUUUGCCACCCGGCAUGAAACUCAAGAGCAGAUGUUGUGAAGGACAGACAGGAAUCCCAUCGCCGAUGGCGUUUUCUGCCCAGUCUAGGGCCACAGAAACACCGAUCAAAACAACUCUCCAUGCAGUGAACUCCUGGUUUGCCUGGCGGAGACGAUCAAUGUGCAGGCUGGUGCUGUCACCUGCAUUGACUGCCAUCCCUCCUAGGCCCCUCAGGAUGUCUUCUUCCGGAUUUGUUGAGGGUUGUGGAGUUUGAAUACCCACUAGCGGAAGAGGAGACCUUAUGACUACAGCUGAGACACGCCAGCCCUACUUGUUUCUGUGAGUGGGAAAAUGGCAGGUACACAGUCUUCUCCCCCUAGCAAAACAGUGGAAGUGGCCACUUACCUCUACUAGACUUUUAAAAAUGAAAUUUCUUUGGUCUCCUGUGGAUCCAGUGGGUCCUUGAAAACCUUGGCUCUGAAAACUGGGAUCAAGCCUAGUCUCAUUUUUUUUUGUGCUUCCCUGGCUCUGAAGAAAUACCCUCCUAAGCAGGAUUUCCAGUUACAUCUUGCACACAUUUUGCACGCAAACCACAGAUUCCCUAUGGCUGGCGACCCUUAAUCUUGAGGGGACCUGCUAGCUGUCCAUUGUUUUCAGCAGCAUUUCGUGAGCAGAGUUGGCCGAAAGUGAUCUGGCAAACCACAUUUCAGGACGGAACCUGUUGCAGCAACAUCCAGUAACAGCUGUUAGAGAGAGCUGAGUCUCUGUAUGUUAAAACCACUCCUUCCUGUACUGUUUGCAACGAGCGAGCCAGCCCUUCUAACUCUGGUGCUGAACCUUGUUGGUUUGUCCUCACACACUUCACUUUUUAAUGCACUGUGUUUGGGACACAUCUCCCUAAGGCUUGUCCUCUGGAGGAAACUGGAUUUAAGCCUGGCCUACAGAUGCCAGUCCCCAAAGAUGUGGUCAGUUGGCAUCCCCACUGGCUUUUAUUUGGGACAAAAGUAGAUUGCCCCAUCUCCCACGUGUCUCUGUCCUCCAGAGAUCUGAGCCUCCUCUCACAUUAGCGGGUUAAGACUGGCAGCCAUAAAACACUGAUGUGAACCAUUAGCUGGCAAAGAAGAGGCCUCUGCAUCUUCUGACGCCUGGUCUCCACCUGGAAAUCCCUGCAGAAUGUGAAAUAACUUAAUAACUUGUUGAUUGGUUGCUUCCCACCCCUCACACACACCCCAUUGAACAAUGCAUUGGCAUUCCUCUGUUGUUGCUUUUUUUAAAAAAGGUUUUUGCAACUGUAUAUCUUCACAGGUAGAGUGAAUUCUGUUUAUUUAUAUGGCCUCACAGCCACGUUUAUGUGUAUAUAGUUAAAAAUGUAUAUAUUCGUAAGAUUUCAAAAAGAGGAAAAUAAAACUUUUUUGCUGACUUUUAAAACA
ensembl:lncRNA chromosome unknown C8orf58 homolog